AUUGAACGCUGGCGGCAGGCCUAACACAUGCAAGUCGAACGAGUGGCGGACGGGUGAGUAAUGUCUGGGAAACUUCCCGAUGGAGGGGGAUAACUACUGGCAACAGUAGCUAAUACCGCAUACCAUCGGAUGUGCCCAGAUGGGAUUAGCUAGUAGGUGGGGUAACGGCUCACCUAGGCGACGAUCCCUAGCUGGUCUGAGGGGAUGACCAGCCAACCUGGAACGGAGACACGGUCAAGACUCCUACGGGAGGCAGCAGUGGGGAAUAUUGCACAAUGGGCGAAAGCCUGAUGCAGCCAUGCCGCGUGGAGGAAGAAGGCCUUCGGGUUGUAAAGUACUUUCAGCGAGGAGGCGUUACUCGCAGAAGAAGCAACGGCUAACUCCGUGCCAGCAGCCGCGGUAAUAC
rnacentral:rRNA from 1 species